UACGUAGGGUGCGAGCGUUAAUCGGAAUACUGGGCGUAAGGCGUGCGCAGGCGGUGAUGUAAGACAGAUGUGAAAUCCCCGGGCUCAACCUGGGACCUGCAUUUGUGACUGCAUCGCUAGAGUACGGCAGAGGGGGAUGGAAUUCCGCGUGUAGCAGUGAAAUGCGUAGAUAUGCGGAGGAACACCGAUGGCGAAGGCAAUCCCCCUGGGCCUGUACUGACGCUCAUGCACGAAAGCGUGGGGAGCAAACAGG
rnacentral:rRNA from 1 species